rnacentral:rRNA from 1 species
CCCUUAGAUGUUCGGGGCCGCACGCGCGCUACACUGAAGGAAUCAGCGUGCUCUUGUCCUGGUCUGGAAAGACUGGGUAACCCGUUGAACCUCCUUCGUGCUAGGGAUUGGGGCUUGCAAUUAUUCCCCAUGAACGAGGAAUUCCCAGUAAGCGCAAGUCAUCAGCUUGUGUUGAUUACGUCCCUGCCCUUUGUACACACCGCCCGUCGCUACUACCGAUUGAAUGGCUUAGUGAGGCCUCCGGAUUGGCUUUGGGGAGCCGGCAACGGCACCUCAUGGCUGAGAAGUUGGUCAAACUUGGUCAUUUAGAGGAAGUAAAAGUCGUAACA